CAACAACUUCCUCUGUCCCAAAUUUCUUGUCUUAGAUUUGUCUACAUACGGAUGUAUCUAAUACUAAAAUGUGACUUGAUACAUCCGUAUCUAGAAAAAUCUAAGACAAUAAUUUUGGGACGGAGGGAGUACUUU
rnacentral:pre_miRNA from 1 species